AUAAAAUUGAAUGAUUUUCUUUUUUAAGUAGAAAUAACUUUAAAACGAAGGAAGUGUUAAAGAAAUCGAUAAUCUGAAAGUACAGUUGCUGCUAGCUAUGCCAAUUUCACGAUUAUGUCCAAACAUACAUCCAUUUCUACAAAUCAAAGCAUGCAACGGAAACAACAACGACAAUGGAUCGAAGUCAGUUACAGGAAAACCCAAGGUCAGUCCCCAGCUGAACCGGUGGUCCAGGGCUCGUGCAAUACGUUCCGGUCGAAAAUUGGACCGGUCUAGUCCACGAACUCAAACCAUAGAACCCAACAACUCUCAACCUACAGUCCUCUUCGCGGUCGACCCGGAUGACACUGUCAGUGAAGACGGGUCAGAGUUUAGGGCUAAGUCCAUAUAUAUUGUCUCUGAUGGAACCGGUUGGACCGCUGAACACUGUGUUAAUGCUGCUUUGGGUCAGUUUGAUUAUUGCUUGGUUGAUCGUGGUUGCCCUGUUAGUACUCAUAUGUUUUCUGGGAUUGAUGAUGUAGAGAGGUUAUUGGAGAUAAUAAAGCAAGCAGUGAAGGAAGAUGCACUGGUUGUGUAUACUUUAGCUGAUUCUUCAUUUUCUUCAGCAGCUGAGAAGGCCUGCAAAUUAUGGGGUGUGCCUUCUACCAAUGUACUAGGACCCAUUACAGAGGCCAUUGCUUCUCAUCUGGGUGUGUCUCCUUCUGGCCUUCCUCGUGGUGCUUCUGGCGUUCCUCUCUCCGAUGAUUACUUUCGUAGGAUUGAAGCUAUUGAAUUCACUAUCAAGCAAGAUGACGGGGCAUCUCCACAGAAUCUUGCCAAGGCUGAUAUUGUUCUUACCGGGGUUUCCCGAACCGGGAAGACACCUUUGUCUAUUUAUCUUGCUCAGAAAGGGUAUAAGGUCGCCAACGUACCGAUUGUGAUGGGCGUGGAAAUGCCUAGGACUCUCUUUCAGGUUGAUCCAAAGAAGGUUUUUGGCUUGACUAUAAACCAUGGUGUUUUACAGGACAUUAGAAAAACAAGGGCUAAAACUUUGGGUUUUAGUUCAGAAUCACGGACUAAUUAUUCGGAGAUGGAUUAUAUUCGAGAGGAACUUGAAUUUGCAGGAAGGCUCUUUGCUCAGAACCCUGUCUGGCCCGUUAUUGAUGUGACUGCUAAAGCGAUAGAAGAAACUGCAGCAGUUGUAUUGAGGCUGUUCCAUGACCGCAAGCAUAAGUACACAAUGUCUAGCAUCUCAAAACGCUAUUAGGGAUGUCGAUUUUCUCUCGUUGAACUCCAUAUUGUAAAGCAUCAAAGUUGUAUACUAUUGCAAUGCAGAAUUUGUUGACUACUCGUAAAUCGUUAUCAUACACAGUCGUAUAUUUUAGCCAACAGUAACUUACUAGACUCAGCUGUGGAAAAGCUGAUUUUCUCGGAUGGACUUGCCUAUAAUUGUAAAACUUCCAUCAUUAAAGUUGGUGGGUGCUGGUGACUUCUCUUGUGAAAAAUACAGAGGAAUACAAUGAAUAAGUAGAAAUGCAGUUUUCUUUCCUUCAACGGAAAGGAAGCUCUGUUCCUGCCAAAUUGGUGUAGUAUUUCUCCAUAGUUUGGUUUUCAAAGUCAAAUAUAGAAAACUGGGGGCUAGGAAGCCUUUUUUUAUUGCUUGCAUAAUUGGCUCUAAUAGUCUUAUGGUUCCUGUAAUAUUUAAUUCUUAUGCCGGCAUUAUUAUUGAUAUAUUAGAUGUCUAUUUUCUUGCCAAA